rnacentral:rRNA from 1 species
GCGCUCCGGCUGAGCACAGUCGUCGCCGUUUGCGCGAGCGCUCCGCGGAGCACCUGUAGUGCCGGCAGCCGCUUCUUAGAGGGACCAGCGACACUUUCGCAAGCCGCACGAGAAAGAGCAAUAACAGGUCUGUGAUGCCCUUAGAUGUACGGGGCUGCACGCGUGCUACACUGACGGCGUCAGCGUGCGUUCAAGCCCGGCCUGGCAAGGCCAGGAAAUCGGUUGAAACGUUCUCGUGACUGGGACAGGGAAUUGCAAUUAUUUCCCUCGAACGAGGAAUUCCCAGUAAGCGCGAGUCAUCAGCUUGCGUUGACUACGUCCCUGCCCUUUGUACACACCGCCCGUCGCUACUACCGAUUGGAUGACUUAGUGAGGCCUUUGGACCGAUGCCGCCGGCGUUCGGCCGUCAGGUUGAACCACGGCGUU